AAGAAAGAAAGAAAGAAAGAAAGAAAGAAAGAAAGAAAGAAAGAAAGAAAGAAAGAAAGAAAGAAAGAAAGAAAGAAAGAAAGAGAAAGAAAGAAAAGAAAGAUCCCUUAGGAAGGGGUACCAGCUGAAGCAAAGAGACUUCUAAAGAGAUCUAGUAAGAGCGACAAUUAUUGUAAUGCAAGUCUUCCAGGGUGCCUCUUCUACUUACAGGCAGACCUAUACAGACACCAACAAAAUCUGCUUACUAGUUGAUUCUUAAUUGUAAAAUUCUUGGUGAAACCACACUUGUGUGAAAAAACCCUGUAAUCUCACCUCUUGUCGAAUGGUUUCUGAGAGGUUUUAGAUUGAGGAUUGCAGCAUUUCAUGACUUUGCAGAAGGAAAGCUGCCUUUGUAACUAGACAAUGAACAAUUCACACUCUACAAAAGAGAGUUAAAAGAGAUCAAUGAAAUGCAUAGAAACAGGAUUGUUUUGUAGUCUGUGGUUUCUAAUAUUGCUGUACCUGUGGCUUUAUGUUAUUGGGUGCUAUUAAUCUCAGAAGAAACAAUUAUUUUGUCUGAAGAAUGGGAUUGAGAAAAGGACACUGUAGUCCUCCAGAUAACAUUAAUCUACUGAUGAUUCUGAAGUGAAGACGUGAUUGAUGAAGUACCAGAAACUGGUGACGUAGGAAGUUGGCUGCAUUUUCAGAGGAUUUUUUCAGACAUCCAUCUGGCUUUAUUGAGGUAGCUGACAAGGAUUAUCCUUUUAUCCAUUUCCAAAUCUUCUCUGAAUUCCAAGAAAUAAAUGGUAGAGAUGAGAAGAAACCUGCUGAGAAUAUAGGCCAGACCACUUACAGGUUAUAGGCCAGACCACUUACAGGUUAGUGAGCACCAAUAUAUAUGUGAACCUCUAAAAAAAGACCUUAGCCACAAAUCGUAUCUUUCCAUAACAUCUUUCUUUUGCUUCAGUUUACCAUGUCAAAUGUAUUUUUUUUCUUCUUCUAGCUUGUGUUAAUAUAAGUUCAAUUCAUUAAUAAUUUCAUUUCAAAAAUUUUCUCAAACCUAAU
rnacentral:lncRNA from 1 species